AUGGAGGACGCCGAAAAUCCUUAAUAGAGUAGGCA
ncrna:unclassified sequences DTF805b RNA